rnacentral:rRNA from 1 species
GAUGAACGCUGGCGGCGUGCCUAAUACAUGCAAGUCGAGCGAACGGACGAGAAGCUUGCUUCUCUGAUGUUAGCGGCGGACGGGUGAGUAACACGUGGAUAACCUACCUAUAAGACUGGGAUAACUUCGGGAAACCGGAGCUAAUACCGGAUAAUAUUUUGAACCGCAUGGUUCAAAAGUGAAAGACGGUCUUGCUGUCACUUAUAGAUGGAUCCGCGCUGCAUUAGCUAGUUGGUAAGGUAACGGCUUACCAAGGCAACGAUGCAUAGCCGACCUGAGAGGGGGAUCGGCCACACUGGAACUGGGACACGGUCCAGACUCCUACGGGAGGCAGCAGUAGGGAAUCUUCCGCAAUGGGCGAAAGCCUGACGGAGCAACGCCGCGUGAGUGAUGAAGGUCUUCGGAUCGUAAAACUCUGUUAUUAGGGAAGAACAUAUGUGUAAGUAACUGUGCACAUCUUGACGGUACCUAAUCAGAAAGCCACGGCUAACUACGUG